CCUACGGGCGGCAGCAGUAGGGAAUCUUUCACAAUGGGCGAAAGCCUGAUGGAGCAACGCCGCGUGCAGGAUGAAGGCCUUCUGGUUGGAAACUUCUUUUAUAAUCGAGAAAUAUGAUAGUGACUUAUGAAUAAUGAUCGUCUCACUACGUUCCAGCAGCCGCGGUCCUACGUAUGAUCCGAGCAUUAUCCGGAGUGACUGGGUGUAAGAAGUUGCGUAAGUGGCAUAAUAAGUAGCUAGUGAAAUCUGGUGGCUCAACCAUUCAGUCUAUUAGCUAAACUGUUAAGCUAGAGACCGUUAGAGGUAACUGGAAUUUCUAGUGUAGGAGUGAAAUCCGUAGAUAUUAGAAAGAACACCGAUAGCGUAGGCAGGUUACUGGGACGGUUCUGACACUAAGGCACGAAAGUGUAGGGAGCAAACGGGAUUAGAUACCCUGGUAGUC
rnacentral:rRNA from 1 species